GACGAACGCUGGCGGCGCGCCUAACACAUGCAAGUCGAACGAGCGAUAGAGAGCUUGCUUUCUCGAGCGAGUGGCGAACGGGUGAGUAACGCGUGAGGAACCUGCCUCAAAGAGGGGGACAACAGUUGGAAACGACUGCUAAUACCGCAUAAGCCCACGGCUCGGCAUCGAGCAGGGGGAAAAGGAGCAAUCCGCUUUGAGAUGGCCUCGCGUCCGAUUAGCUAGUUGGUGAGGUAACGGCCCACCAAGGCAACGAUCGGUAGCCGGACUGAGAGGUUGAACGGCCACAUUGGGACUGGGACACGGCCCAGACUCCUACGGGAGGCCGCAGUGGGGAAUAUUGCACAAUGGGGAAACCCUGAUGCAGCGACGCCGCGUGGAGGAAGAAGGUCUUCGGAUUGUAAACUCCUGUUGUUGGGGAAGAUAAUGACGGUACCCAACAAGGAAGUGACGGCUAACUACGUG
rnacentral:rRNA from 1 species